rnacentral:rRNA from 1 species
GGAGUUAGCCGGUGCUUCUUCUGUGAGUGAUGUCCUUCCUGCCGGCUAUUAACCCGCAGGCCUUCUUCCUCACUGAAAGUGCUUUACAACCCGAAGGCCUUCUUCACACACGCGGCAUGUCUGGAUCAGGGUUGCCCCCAUUGUCCAAUAUUCCCCACUGCUGCCUCCCGUAGGAGUCUGGGCCGUGUCUCAGUCCCAGUGUGGCUUAUCAUCCUCUCAGACCAGCUACGGAUCGUCGCCUUGGUGAGCCGUUACCUCACCAACCAGCUAAUCCGACAUAGGCUCAUCCGAUAGCGCGAGGCCCGAAGGUCCCCCGCUUUCCCCCGUAGGGCGUAUGCGGUAUUAGCCUGGGUUUCCCCAGGUUAUCCCCCACUACCGGGCAGAUUCCUAUGCAUUACUCACCCGUCCGCCGCUCGCCACCAGGGAGCAAGCUCCCCGUGCUGCCGCUCGACUUGCAUGUGUUAGGCCUGCCGCCAGCGUUCAAUCUGAACCAGAUCAAAUUCUGA